GGUUCCCUGAUGCUUUUAGAUGAGGAUGAAGCCCCUUCUUUGGAGAAGAGAAAGAAUUCUCCCAGAAUUCUCUAUCUGGAAGAAGAAUAUCCUUCACCUCCGUGGUAUAUAAUUGUCAUGACUGAUUUUGACCUUGGAGAAGAGAUGAGGAAGUGCCCAAAUAAGCAUGGAGCUGACUGGCCACGUGGAGGAGGGGUCCCUUCAUCUCUGAGAGGAAGAAGGCUAAAGCUAAUAGGGAGGCAGAGAAAUCCCACAAAGAACUUGAUAAGACUCAUCCUAAUUAAGUCAUUAUAUGCAUUUGAAUACUCUCUAACUUCAAUAGAAAUGGAAGAAGAUGAAAACAAUAUAUGUUGAAUAAUAUAAUUCACAAGUAAGAAAUGGCCAAGGCCGAUAGCUUGUCAACUUGAUGGUAGCCUGUGGUAUAUCAUGAAUACUUUCUUGGCCCUGAAAAUGACAAAUACCCCCCUUCUCUACCCCUCAAAGGAAAUGGGUUCUAUUUUAACGGACAGGAAACAACUGAUUACUGAUAGGAACGCCACUUCUAAAUCAGCAGUCUGUGUACAGUUAGACCACUGGCUUGUCAGAAAAGAUGAAUAUCGGUUCUAAAUUAGAAGAAAGAAUAAAAAUAAGGACAUUUGCUGCCUGGAGUGUGCUGUAAUGGAUUGGAUUUGAGUCAAGAAAACUCAGUUUCUUCAAAUGAAUGAAGUAUAAGGACAAGAAUAGUACCUACUUCGAAGAAAUAUUGUGAAUAUCCAAUGUGCACCACCUUUAAACCUAAGCACUAUCUAUUUGUAUGCAUUAAUUUUGCUGUGGAUGCUGGGAAAAUGGGAACCAGAUCAAAGAAAAGGCCUCAAUAUAAGUCAUCAGCUUCUAAGGAAGCUUGACUGAUGUUUAUCAAUGGCCACUGGUUUGAAUCAUCUCAUUGUUGAAGAUCUUGAGAUCUUAAACUUAAACUUGGCAGCUUCCACCUGUUCAUCCUGGGUCAGAAGCAGCCAAAGACAAUGGAAGAGUUGGAGGUUGGGGAUGGACUGCUAUGCCGUUGGAGAGAAGGAGCAGGUCAUGAUCUGAAACCCCCAUUUCUGGUUUCAGAGACUAAUCAGACCAAGUCUAGGAGCAAAACACCUCGGAGCAGAUGGCGGCUACGCCAUGGGAGCUGUGGGCAGGUGGUUGGGCCCUACUGGUCUGGGCCAGUUAAUUAGACCCCAGCCACAGGAGGAACAACUCUGCGUUUUUCACCCAGCUGGCUUUCUACCCGAUGUUAACAAGGAGAGGCAAGUGGAAGUCAACAAGCAUUUGCCGAGGACCUACUGUGUGCAGGGCAAAGCCUGAUGACGUCAGAGGCAGAAAGCAGGUCCCCUCCCCCCACCCAGGGCCUUCCCUACUGUUCCCCCCCUUGCUUCCCUGCUUCUUCCAACCUGCAGCCUGGGAGGCAGGGCCUCUCUCCCUGCACAGCAGCUGGGGGGGGGGAAGGUGGUACCAUGUUUCCCUCACCCCCAGCCCAUGGCUCCCGGGCGGGGCCACCAAACCUGCUCUCCCAGGCCUUUCCUCUGCUGCCACUCAGUGCCAGGCCUUGGGGGUACUUCCUCCUUGGGGUUCCCUCCAAAACACUUCCUGAGAGUCGGUGGAGAACAGUCCCAGAAUGCUCAGAGAAACAGGGCCAGAGACCCAGAGAUUCAUUGGCCUUGUAAGGGCUGCAGUGUGGGAAAGCUAGAAAGGGACCUAGAACCAAGGACAGAAAGUCAGGCCCUGGGAUGGAAAAUAUGAGCUGAGAAGGAACUUGGGAUGUCAGAGGAACCUUAGGAGGGCAGAGAUGGAGGAGACCAUGGAACAAGAGCUGGGAUGCUCUUGAACAUGGAAACUACAUGGACUGUUACCUGGGGGGGCCCUCCGUCUCAGCCUCUCUGCAGAUGAAACACCAGAGCCUGGCCCCUUCAGUGCAGGAGACUUGGGCCAGAGGUUGGCACUCAGGGCUGUCUCUGCAGCUGCCCGUUCUCGGGCAGGAUGGCACAGGUGGGCAUCUUUGCCGGGUACCUUUGCCUGCCCAGCUGCAGCCCAGGGUCCUUCCAGGCCACCCUCUGGCCUAUGAUGGACGGGGAGCCCAGGGAGGGCCCAGCCCCUGCCGGCUAAUUUUAGCCUCCGGGACUUCAGAGCCCCAGCAUUAAGUGCCGGGUGUCACUUUGCAGCUGCCUCUCACUCUGGAGCAGUCACGCCAUCGGGAGGAAGCGUGGGUGACACAAG